UUGCGUUUGAGCUAGUUUCUGAAUGUGUGGUGCGACAGAAAAAGCAGUGAAACCAGAAAUUGGAGGAGACUGUGAGUUGACCCUCUCCUCUGUUCUGGCCUCACUGUGCGCCUCGGGCAACUCAACUCCGGGUUCCACAAGCAUUUUUGUGUCUGUCGGGUUCAUGGCUGCAUCUCCAGCAUCUGGAACAGUGCCUGUCAACACGUAUUGCGUGGAAUAAACUGGCCGCCCGAUGGGCAUCUUUCUUGGUUGCGCACGGUGCUCUGGGCCCCGAGCUAGCCCUGGGGAUACAACGUUGAAUCGGGCUUGGUCCCUGCCUUUAGGAGCUUGCGGCACGGAGGGGACAAUGCGAUCGCCGCCAUUGAUGAGACUCUGUUGUGCAGGCCGGCUUCGCGUCGGUCGCCUUCUUUCAGCCUCCGAUAGCCACGAAGGGCCCGUGCGCUCGUGCCUAUCUCACGGGUGAGCAACUCAAAGCUCAGAGAGGUACCACUGUGCUCGGGUGAUCAAGGACCCAGACUCUGAAGCCGGACAGCCUGGAUGUGGCUCUGGGACUUCGUCGCUGUGUGACUUGUGGCAUCUUACUCCACCUCUCUGUGCCUCGGUGCCUCGGUCUGUAAAACUGGAACAAUAGUGACGGUUUCAGAGAGUUGUGCUGAGGAAUAAAUAAAGGGAUGGACGUGGGGAGCGUUGAAAACUGCUCCAGGCACAUAUAUAUAGUCACUAUGUAAAUGCGUGCUAUUACCAUUUAUUAUUAUGGUUAUUAUGGGUUAUUAUCAUGCCACAGUGGACUUCAGGUGCCCUAAAUCCACUCAGGCCUGAACCUGGGGCAGCUCCUCUCCUCCUGGGGGGCCCCACAGCUCCAGACUCGUCUUCUUAGCAUUUCAAGUUCACAACGAAGGGAGACAUUCUCUAUUGCCAGGGGUUCUGGAACAUUCUUGCGGUUGGAUUUCUCGGGACAGAUUCGAGUCAGGAGAAACUUGCGAGCCCAGCAGUUUCUGUCUUAGGAAGAGGCCCUGGGAGGUCUUGUCCCCCUCCCCGCCCCCCCCCCCCCCCAGCCCCUUCCAGGGCCCCCUGCUGGCCCCUUGCCCCUCCACCCUGGGCUGAGAGAGGGUGGAGGCCCCACCCACUCCUGGCUGAUGGGAUUCUCCCUUCACUCCACUGUCCUUGUAGCCACUCGGUGCAUCCGAGCCCGUGUGCGGCAGGGCCACGUUUGUUCCCUAGUGGGCACCUCAGACAAGGCUGGCCUUGGAGGAUGCGGUACCCCAUUGUCACUGACACCUGCUUCCCCAGACUUUCUCUAAAAGGCACAGUUGCCAUUUCCAUGCCGCCCUCGGAACACGGGCAGAGUUUACAUCUCACAGAUACAGCGGUGCCAGCCGGGAAACUGGGAGGUUUCAGGCAGCAUCAGAGCCUAGGGGACCCGCACUGGGGACAGGCAAGGGACAGCUCCUCUCUGAGUCUCAGGCUUCCUCAUCUACCCCUCCCCCUGGUAGAUGGAGCCCCUCCCCCCGAGGCAGUUUUGAGGGUGGCGGGAGACAGAACGCGGAGGGCCACGGUGCCUGGCACACUGAUUAUCACCGUCCGCAGAAGCAGCAUCAGAUGCCCAUGGGCUGUGGAUUGCCCCUGUCCCUCAUCCUCCAAAGCUCCCAGAGCUACUGGCCUGUCCACCCCCGGGACCAGAGGCAGAAUCGGGACUAAUAAGGGUGAGCAAAUGCAUUGGACUGAAGCCCGUGCUCUCUGGCUGUGUCUGCACCCACUUCCCCGCUGUUUGCAGGCUACCAGGGGUUCCAGAAUAUGUUCCUGAGCUCUGGCCACGGUCCAGUUACACGGUCCCCGUCCAGGCAGGCCCCGUGUCUGGGGACAGAGAAACAGAAGGCAGGGGCCCAUUCACCUGAGGGCCGGAGGCUCAGGACAGGACAGGACAGGACCUUUGCUCCUCAGAGUCUGGGGCCAGGUCCCUGUGGGUUCACGGGAUGAAGCUCCUUCCACUCCCGGGGCCUCCUGGGCUGGCACAGAAUCAGGGGCCUCCUGCCUCCCAGUCUGGCAGCCUUGUGUGCGGAGGGGUGAUGAUGCCCAUUUACAGACCAGAACACUGCCCCCAAAGGGACCUGGGAAAUACCAGUGGCCUCUCAGACACGGCGUCAAACACGAGCCUGUCCCCAUACCCCACAGACCCAAAGGAGUCAGGGGCCCUGAGGGCGGGGGGGAGGGGGUGUCUCAGGCCACAGAGGAGGCUGGGAGAGGUCAGUAGGCUGAGAUCAGGGAGGACACACCCAGGCUGCCAGCGGCCCUGAGGCUAGUGGGUGUGGCCAGGCCCACUUUGGGUGGGGCUACCAUUGGUUGUGGGUGGGGCCAUCCCAGCAUGCGGGCGUGGCCAGACUGAGCCUUUGAAAUUAACCCUUGUCCAGACUGGAACUCGGCUCACAGCAGCUAGUCAGGUGAAAGUCUACCUGGGAGGACCCCUGAUCACUGGGAAGCUGGUGGGGCACCUCUGUCGCCCGAGACCUAGCGCCCCCCGCCCCCGCCACGCAGCUUUCAGCACCUCAUUACUGUGGCUUACAUGUUCCUGUCUCCCUUUUUAGAGCGUGAACUCUGUGGUGACAAAGCAGGGACGUAAUUGCCUCGGUCGUGGCUAUGUCGCAGGCAUACAGUAGGCACUGGGUACCUUUUGUGACAAUUGAGGGCAGGAAUAGCUUAAUUCAACUUUGGAGGGGAUGAUGAAGUAGGGGGCUUCUCAGGGCUUCCUAGGGACUGUCUGGGUCAGGAAACCUCAGGGAGGAGCGAGCUUGGGGACAGAAGUGGCUCUGAGGCCCCUGGGCCAGGUUGGCAGGCGUGAGGCAGCUGCGUCCUCCCCUCCUCCCUCUACCUUGAGAGCCUCUGGCUGUGGCCUCACCCCUUGCCUUUCACUUCCCCUCUGGGAAAUGGGGCAGCUGUCCCUCCCCCGAGAGAAGCCAUGCACUGCCUGCCGGCUGCGGCUGCGGCGUGCAGGGGUGCUCCUCAGCCAGUCGUGCCUCCCCCCUUUAUUUGGAUAUUGCUAAGGAAACUGACAAAUCCAUAUCACCCUUAGGGAAGAAAAGGCAACAAAGACUGUGUGUGUGUGUGUGUGUGUGUGUGUUUCAUUUGAUACUUGGGAAAACAUAGUGCCAGGCCUAUAAAAGGGCCCAGGAGGAAGCCAGUUUGGCAUUUCUGCUGUGGCAUUCCUGUCCCCGGGGAACCCCUUCCCAGGCACUUCCUCCUUCUGUCCCAUCCCUGAUCGCUCCCAGAGUCACCGCGUGACACCAGGCUGGGGCAGCUGGUGCAGGGGAGCCAUCUGUGGCGGGGUUAGAGG